GGCCUUGGGCCUUGGGGGUCUCCGCUGGACCUCCAGGAAGUCAGCUUUUGUGGAGUCCCGUGAGUCCUUCCAGGGAGGGAGGCAUCCAACCCGAGGGUGGUCUGGAGGGCACCACUCCCGCCACUCCCGGGGGCUGGGGCGGGGGGCGGGGUGGGGGCUGCGGCCACGUUCCUGUUCAUUCACACAGAAUCCGGGGCAUGAAUGUUCUUAGCAGCUCUGUUCCACACAGCCCCACACUGGAAACCACACAGACGUCCUGCGAGUCCCAUCCCUUGCUCAUGUCGCCGGGGCUCCGGAGGAGGGCCACUCUGUAAAAGCGGCCGCCAGAUGGCGCCCAACGACCGGCGCGGAGGGGUCAGCGGGAGGGAACCGGGUCACCAGCCAGCGAGAGUGCACAGCCUGAGCCCACCGCCGGGUCAGCGGUGCACGUAUUUCCCUUCCAAAAAAGAAGAAUGGGAAAGGAGAUGUUAAAGGCAAGCAGAGAGAGGAAAACUGUUGCAAAACAAAAGCUGAGCUCCUGUCCGAGGGAGGCCUCCUCCAUUGGAGGCCUAGGAAAUCAUUCUGACAAAAUGGAGGAUCUCUGUCUUUGGUGUCGAUUCCCUCAGAGGUCAAGAGAAACCUUUUCCAAUGUCUUUAUCAGGAGGAGACUAGAAGUUAGAGAAAAGUAUCCUUUCGAGAGCGAGAGAAACAAAUUCUGAUUUUGCAUCAGCUUCCCUCCGAUCUUGAAACUCAUUGACUUGAUUCCAUUCUGUCGACGGAAAUAAUCCGGAACCAAUCUAUCCGUGAAAAUCUGGGCGGGACGCCGACCACAGCGUGGCUCGCCAAGCGGCGCCACGUCCGCACCCCGGAUCCGAACCGGCGAACCCCUGGCCGACAAAACGGAACGUGCGAACUUAACUGCUGUGCCGCCGGGCUGGCCCUUCGGGAAGUUCUUUUCAGGACACAGGCCAUAAACUAGAAUCACCGCUACAGGUUUAUCGGAGCGACAUCAGCGUUCGUGGUGGAUUGAGUCGUCCCCUCUGUCUCUCCCCUCCAGGGGACAACCAAACGGACGUCUAUCGACCCACCCACCAAGGAUUCCC